rnacentral:rRNA from 1 species
UUAUAUAUUAAAAAUAAAGCCGGAUAGUACAAAUAAAAUUUUAAACCUAAAGAUCUUGGCGGUGCUUUAUCUAACCAAGGGAACCUGUUACUUAAUUCGAUAAUCCACGUAUAUAAAAACCAUUAUUAGAACAAUCAGUCUGUGUACUGCCGUCGUAUGUAUACCUUAAAAAGAUAUUAUACAAGAAUAAUUAAAUUAAAUAUGUCAGGUCAUAGUACAGCUAAUGAAAUGGUGAAUAUGGGUUACAUUCAAAAACUAGUAGCCAAAAUAAAAUUAAUAAUUUUAUAAAAAGAUGGACUUGGAAGUAAUUACAAUAAUAGAAUUGUUAUGAAAAUAGAAUCUGAAGCAUGCACAUAUCGCCCGUCACUCCCAUCC